CAGCUGUGAUGAGCUUAACUUCAUGGUCCGUGUUUCUGACCACCAUGAUUUUACUUGAAGUUCUGAGAAU
ensembl:snoRNA SNORD18 Small nucleolar RNA SNORD18